AUAUAUAUCCCACCGGCUGUGUGAUGCCUUUAUUGCCGUGAUGCGGGAGCUUCUGUGAGUGCAAUGUUGUGAGCCUUUCUCAAAUGUACAAUACAGAGGAAAUAACUAGAGGUGGAAUAAUGGACACGAAUGCACAGCAAUCUACGUUCCAAGGAAUGAUCCUCAUGCACACUUUUUCAGAGAGGAUUCUGGCAAGGGGCAAUCUACUGUAACCUUUUCUAUACCAGGCGAAGAAUCUGGGGCAUAACUUCAUCUCUAUGGGCCCCAU